rnacentral:rRNA from 1 species
CCUACGGGAGGCUGCAGUGGGGAAUAUUGGGCAAUGGGCGCAAGCCUGACCCAGCAAAGCCGCGUGAAGGAAGAAGGCUUUCGGGUUGUAAACUUCCUUUGACAGGGAAGAGUAGAAGACGGUACCUGUCGAAUAAGCCACGGCUAACUACGUGCCAGCAGCCGCGGCAAUACGUAGGUGGCAAGCAUUGUCCGGAAUUACUGGGUGUAAAGGGCGUGUAGCCGGGUUGACAAGUCAGAUGUGAAAUCCUGCGGCUUAACCGGAGAACAGCAUUUGAAACUGUUGAUCUUGAGUACUGGAGAGGCAGACGGAAUUCGUAGUGUAGCGGUGAAAUGCGUAGAUAUUAGGAGGAACUCCAGUGGCGAAGGCAGUCUGCUGGACAUCAACUGACGGUGAGGCGCGAAAGCGUGGGGAGCAAACAGGAUUAGAUACCCCAGUAGUC